rnacentral:tRNA from 1 species
UCCCGUGUGGCUCAGUUGGUAGAGCAUGGCGCUUAUAACACCAGGGUUGUGGCUUCAAAUCCCACGAGGGAC